rnacentral:tRNA from 5 species
ACUUUCAAAGGAUAAUAGUAAUCCAAUGGUCUUAGGAACCACUGAUCUUGGUGCAAAUCCAAGUGAAAGUA